UACGUAGGGGGCUAGCGUUGCUCGGAAUCACUGGGCGUAAAGCGCACGUAGGCGGUUCUUUAAGUCCGGGGUGAAAUCCUGGAGCUCAACUCCAGAACUGCCUUUGAUACUGAGGAGCUUGAGUCCGGAAGAGGUGAGUGGAACUGCGAGUGUAGAGGUGAAAUUCGUAGAUAUUCGCAAGAACACCAGUGGCGAAGGCGGCUCACUGGCACGGUACUGACGCUGAGGUGCGAAAGCGUGGGGAGCAAACAGG
rnacentral:rRNA from 1 species